rnacentral:antisense_RNA from 1 species
CUCUUUCCUUACUUCCUUCCCUUCCCUCGGCUUCCCGCUCUCCCCUCACUCUCAGCGGCUGUCUUCGCCCCCGUGUGCAGACAGCGCCGCUGGAUGCUCCCAGCUGGACUUCAACCCCAUUUCUCUCAGUCUCUCUCCCCACUGCCUUCCAGACGCGCCUCUUCCCCGCCCAGCGCCCCUCUCUCCUCUCCCACCCCUGCCCCUCUCCGCGGCGCCCACCCUCCUCAGUCCCAGUUUCUGAAAGGACUCAGCUGAGAAAGGACAACUGGGUUCCGCUUUCCUUAACCCUACACCCUUUAGCUGGAUGCUGUCAGAGGUGAUGGAGAAACGCAAAGGCUACUAGACACAUCAAUAGAAUUACCAUAUUGGUUUUCCUGGUUUGAAAGGACCAGAUGGAAAGAAACUGGGCAAGCCAAUGAAAGUCUCUGGGGAUCAUGGGAAUUGAGUGUCUAUGAAAACCAUAUUCCAGACAAGAAUAUAGUCUUAGGACACAGCAAGAGGCAACAUUUUGGAAGCAGAGGGCAACUCUCACUGGAAACCAAAUCUACUGGCACCUUGAUCUUGGACUUUACAGCCUCCAGAACUGUUAUCUGGGAGGCAUUAUAGUCAUCUGCGAGGUCAAAACUGAGUCACCACCACAACCAAGUUCCAGCUGGCAAGAAGAGGAAAAAUAACAUGGAGGAGUUAUGACCAAUGUUGUAAGGAUAUGGCCUAGAAAUGGCAUGCAUCUCUUCCAUUAAUAUCCUAUUGGUAAAAAUGUAGUCACAUGGACACACCACCUAUCUGCACGGAAGGCUGGGAAAUGUUGAUCGGUUGGGCAGCCAUAUGUGUAGGAAGGAGAAAACAGAAUUUGGUGGAUACCUAGUAGUCUCUGCCAUACCCUUGACCAGAAAUUUUUCUUCUAAAGAAUUUAAUUCUAAAAAUUGUAGACAUUCCCAAAGAUUUACCUGCAAGCAUCAGAGCUUUGUGUAUAAUUGCAAAAGUUGAAAUCACAUGAAUGUCCAAAAUAGUGAAUUAUUUAAAUAGAUUAUUACUCAUAUUAUGAAGAAAUACUCUGCAACUCUUAAAAAUAAAUGUAAUAUGCCACGUGCAAUGGGAUAUGCCUGCAGGCCCGGCUACACGGGAGGCCAAGGCAGGAGGAUCACUUGAACUCAGGAGUUCAAGUCUAGCCUAGACAACAUAGUGAGACUUGGUCUCUAAAAAAGAAAAAAAAAUAAAACUGAUGUAGUGAAUAUAUAAUUACAACAAAAGAGGUCUAACACUACAGUAGAAAAGUUUGGGGCACUCAUCCCAUUCAUAAUUAUUUUACAUUUAAAUUACUGUUCCUACUUAAGUGGUGAGCUUGGUAACCAUUUUUAUAUCAGGUGAUACUGCUGCAGUAAUCAUAGCUGUUUGAAUCAGGAAUAAUCCCAAUCACAUUUUCUCUUAAUAGUUUAUUAUACUGGGCGUUGGGGUUGCAAGAUAAUGCACAGUCCGAGCUGAAUACAUGUCUUCACGUACCUGUAUGUAAAUCCCACUUUUAUUCUAAAAUUCUUUGAAUAUUUUGUUUCUUGCAACCCAAUGAUCCUAAGAAAAUUACUUUUAC